CCCGUAUUAACGUCACGCCGCCCGCGUCAGUGCAGUGGGGCCCGAUAACAGAACGUCAGUAGUGUGCGAGACACGCGCCGUGGUCCACCGUUUCGCCCGCAUACCAGGUGAAGACGUCACGAUCUCGAUUUAGUCGUGUAGUCGUACAACAGCAGCUAUAGUGUAGUCGCAGCAGCCGCGCGAAAUUUUCACAGUAGCGAUUGCGUAGUUAUCUUUCAAUUAGACGCGAAAAAUCGUUAUCACCCGCCGACAUUCGUCCCGGGCAGCCGCGGAAUGCCCAACGGUCGUCUUUCAGUAACGGAAAGUCAUCGGUUCGCGGUGAAUACGCACACAGAGCCUGAGCAGGCCAGUUCGAUCGAUCGGUUUCACGACGACGAUAGUAUUACCGUCGCGUACACGGCGAUGUAGUACAGUACCCGGUGGUCGGUCAGAUUUUCGCUUUACCACCCCAUCCCCAUUAGAGUGUUACCCCGUUUUCGAGCAAAUAAAAUUAAUACGGUCGGUUGAAAAAUAUCGAUUUUUGUUUUCCCGCUUUUAAAAAAUAAAACAACUGCGUGUAAGUUCGACCCCGUCCAUCAGUUAUCAACGUAUUUUCGUAUUAUAUUGUAGGCGAUCGAAUUAUUCAAAUCGUCGUCCACGACGGCGGACACCACCAUCCGCCUUGCCAUGCACGCGAUGCUGGCAGCGUGGACGUUACUCGGCGUGGCCGCGUCGUCGGACCCUUGGCCGGCCGCCGCGUCCACCGUCGACGAGACAGCCGACUCGUACACGACUGCGUACCUGAACGUGACCAGCUACGACGUGGCCACGGGCGUCGCGGUUCAGACGGAAAAAUCGGAGAUAGGAAAGUUCGGCGAGUAUCACGUGGGGGCCGCGUCCGGGAUGCUGUUGCACGUGAUCGGCACGGACGGCGACCGCAACGGGUGCGCGCCCCCCGUCCACGGCGUCCAGGAACCGCCGGACGCCGGGCCCUGGAUAGCGCUGGUGCGCAGGGGCAAGUGCAGUUUCCAGACCAAAGUGGACAACGCGCGACGAGCCGGCGCCUCAGCUGUGAUCGUCUACAAUGACCGCGAAGCCACCGACCUCGACAAAAUGAAACUGACGCCUUCCGAACCCAGAAAUGUCAGUGCAGUUUUCACGUAUAAAUGGAAGGGCGAGGACAUGGCCCGAAUGUUGGACGACAUGACUAGGAGGGUGAUGGUGAAAAUCACAAUAGCCAGUCAUUGCACCAGGCCAUACGGUAACAUUAACAGAACUUCCGUAUUGUUUGUAAGCAUAUCAUUCAUAGUGCUUAUGGUCAUAUCUUUGGCAUGGCUUGUAUUCUACUACAUACAAAGGUUCCGGUAUAUACACGCUAAAGACCAACUGUCGAGACGAUUAUGUAAUGCGGCCAAAAAAGCGUUGUCCAAGAUACCUACCAAGCACAUCAAAAUGGAUGACAAGGAGAUCGUUGGUGAUGGUGACUGUUGUGCAGUGUGUAUUGAACCAUACAGACCGUCCGAGGUGGUUCGGAUACUGCCGUGCCGACAUGAAUUCCACAAAAGCUGUGUAGAUCCUUGGCUGUUAGAGCACCGAACUUGCCCAAUGUGCAAAAUGGACAUACUCAAGCAUUACGGGUUCUUGUUCACAGGCAGUCAAGAGAGUUUCCUGCACGUGGAAGUCGAAGAGGUGACCAACGAUUUCGACGUGUACCAGUACGCACGUGGUCGGAGUUUCAUGGACACGGCUCAAAACUCGAGAACGAUACCGGACGUAGCCGCGGUGGCAGUGGCGGCGGCGGCGGCGGCAGCGGCGGCAGCGGUCGUGUGCGAGUCGCCCGACAGUAGGUCGUCGACGCCCGACGAACUGACGCCCGCGCUGGCCCAACACGACGGCGACGGCGGCGGCGCCGUCGGUGGCAGUGGCGACGGCCGUUCUACAGACGCCGCCACCAACUGCACAACGGUCGCCGCCGGCACCAACCGAUCGACGUCAUUCGAAGAACAGCCUCCGGUCCACUCUGUUAGCGUACCUACAACAGCUAAAUAGUCUGACGAUGGCCGACGCACUCACAAUCACGACUGUAUUUUAUUGAAUAACUAUAUUUGUUAUUUAUAUAACAUACACGUCCUGUUUCGCAAGACCGUUUCCGGAUAUCGUGUGUUUGUACUUUGUGUGCGUGUGUGCGCGGUAUAUACCACAGGAAUCCAAAGCAAUAAUCGACUCUGAUUGGUGGCACAGCCGACUAGGUCCACUGCGACAGACGCGUUCUUCAGAUGGUUUCUGAAACAUUAAAACAACGAUUCAGGACGGAUGUGAUACUAGCCAUUAAGAUGACUUAAACUUUGUAAUAGAAUGUAUCUUCAGUUCAAGUCUUAUUAUUAUAGAGAUUAGGAUUAGGUACAAAAAAAAAUAUAUUGUAUAAUUUAAUGAAAUUGACUUUUCAGUAUAAGUUAUUAAAGCCGUAUGAAUAUACCUAGUCAGUAUUCCUAUAAUAUAAUAUAGCACUCUGAUAAUGACUGGAUUUAAAUGUGAACGGUACUUUUUGUAACUAUUUUAUAGAUAAAAAUGUAUAAUAUUAUGUUAUUAUAUUAUUUAAUAUUUACUAUUAAAAUAAAGAUAAAUGUCAAGAAUUUAAGGUUUGUAAAUAAAAAUGAUUAUACAAUUAAAAUAUUAUAUUUAUGAGUAUUA